AGAGGAAAGCUGGACGGCAAGCCUGAAGGGAAGAAGGUGGCUCCGUCCUCUUUCCAAGCC
rnacentral:ncRNA from 2 species